ACGGUCCUAAGGUAGCGAAAUUCCUUGUCGGGUAAGUUCCGACCCGCACGAAAGGUGUAACGAUUUGGGCACUGUCUCAACGAGGGACCCGGUGAAAUUGAAGUACCUGUGAAGAUGCAGGUUACCCGCGACUGGACAGAAAGACCCCAUGGAGCUUUACUGUAACCUGAGAUUGGAUUCCGGUAAGAGAUGUACAGGAUAGUUGGGAGGCAGAGAAGUGAGUACGCCAGUAUUCACGGAGCCGCUGGUGGGAUACCAACCUUGUUUUAUUGGAAUUCUAACGAGAAGCGUAACGAGCUUGCGGACAGUCUCAGGCGGGCAGUUUGACUGGGGCGGUCGCCUCCGAAAGAGUAACGGAGGCGCCCAAAGGUUCCCUCAGCGCGGACGGAAACCGCGCGAAGAGUGCAAAGGCAGAAGGGAGCUUGACUGCGAGACGGACAGGUCGAGCAGGGACGAAAGUCGGGCUUAGUGAUCCGGUGGUAGAGAGUGGAAUUGCCAUCGCUCAACGGAUAAAAGCUACCCUGGGGAUAACAGGCUUAUCUCUCCCAAGAGUCCAUAUCGACGGGGAGGUUUGGCACCUCGAUGUCGGCUCAUCACAUCCUGGGGCUGAAGUCGGUCCCAAGGGUUGGGCUGUUCGCCCAUUAAAGUGGUACGUGAGCUGGGUUCAGAACGUCGUGAGACAGUUCGGUCCCUAUCCAUCGCGGGCGCAAGAGAUUUGAAGGGGGCUGCUCCUAGUACGAGAGGACCGGAGUGGACGAACCAAUGGUGUACCAAUUAUCUCGCCAGAGGUAUAGUUGGGUAGCUACGUUCGGAAAGGAUAAACGCUGAAAGCAUCUAAGCGUGAAACCAGCCUUAAGAUGAGAUCUCUCAUAGAGUAAUCUAGUAAGACACCUUGGAGAAGACGAGGUUGAUAGGUCGGGAGUGUAAGUACAGUAAUGUAUUCAGCGGACCGAUACUAAUAUGUCGAGGGCUUGACUUG
rnacentral:rRNA from 1 species